rfam:Chlorocebus sabaeus isolate 1994-021 chromosome 16, whole genome shotgun sequence.
GCCGGGCGUGGUGGCGGCGCCUGUAGUCCCAGCUGCUCCGGAGGCUGAGGCAGGAGAAUUGCGGGAACCCGGGAGGCGGGGCUUGCAGUGAGCCGAGAUCGCGCCACUGCACUCCAGCCUGGGCUACAGAGCGAGACUCAAAANNNNNNNNNNUUUUGAGUCUCGCUCUGUAGCCCAGGCUGGAGUGCAGUGGCGCGAUCUCGGCUCACUGCAAGCCCCGCCUCCCGGGUUCCCGCAAUUCUCCUGCCUCAG